AACGAACGCUGGCGGCAGGCCUAACACAUGCAAGUCGAGCGAGGACUUCGGUUCUAGCGGCGGACGGGUGAGUAACGCGUGGGAAUGUGCCCUUCUCUACGGAAUAGCCCUGGGAAACUGGGAGUAAUACCGUAUACGCCCUUUCGGGGAAAGAUUUAUCGGAGAAGGAUCAGCCCGCGUUGGAUUAGGUAGUUGGUGGGGUAAUGGCCUACCAAGCCGACGAUCCAUAGCUGGUUUGAGAGGAUGAUCAGCCACACUGGGACCGAGACACGGCCCAGACUCCUACGGGAGGCAGCAGUGGGGAAUCUUAGACAAUGGGGGCAACCCUGAUCUAGCCAUGCCGCGUGAGUGAUGAAGGCCUUAGGGUUGUAAAGCUCUUUCAGCUGGGAAGAUAAUGACGGUACCAGCAGAAGAAGCCCCGGCUAACUCCGUG
rnacentral:rRNA from 1 species